rnacentral:rRNA from 1 species
AUGCAAGUCGAACGGUAACAGGAAGCAGCUUGCUGCUUCGCUGACGAGUGGCGGACGGGUGAGUAAUGUCUGGGAAACUGCCUGAUGGAGGGGGAUAACUACUGGAAACGGUGGCUAAUACCGCAUAACGUCGCAAGACCAAAGAGGGGGACCUUCGGGCCUCUUGCCAUCAGAUGUGCCCAGAUGGGAUUAGCUAGUUGGUGAGGUAACGGCUCACCAAGGCGACGAUCCCUAGCUGGUCUGAGAGGAUGACCAGCCACACUGGAACUGAGACACGGUCCAGACUCCUACGGGAGGCAGCAGUGGGGAAUAUUGCACAAUGGGCGCAAGCCUGAUGCAGCCAUGCCGCGUGUAUGAAGAAGGCCUUCGGGUUGUAAAGUACUUUCAGCGGGGAGGAAGGUGUUGUGGUUAAUAACCGCAGCAAUUGACGUUACCCGCAGAAGAAGCACCGGCUAACUCCGUGCCAGCAGCCGCGGUAAUACGGAGGGUGCAAGCGUUAAUCGGAAUUACUGGGCGUAAAGCGCACGCAGGCGGUCUGUCAAGUCGGAUGUGAAAUCCCCGGGCUCAACCUGGGAACUGCAUUCGAAACUGGCAGGCUUGAGUCUUGUAGAGGGGGGUAGAAUUCCAGGUGUAGCGGUGAAAUGCGUAGAGAUCUGGA